UCGCCCUGUUUUUACAAAAACAUCGCCUCCUGAACAUUUAUAGGAGGUCCAGCCUGCCCAGUGACUUUGUUCAACGGCCUCGGUACCCUGACCGCGCGAAGGUAGCAUAAUCACUUGUUCUUUAAAUAAGGACUAGUAUCAACGGCAUCACGAGGGUUAUCCUGUCUCCUCUCUCUAAUCAGUGAACCUGACCUCUUCGUGAAGAGGCGAAGAUAUAUUUAUAAGACGAGAAGACCCCAUGGAGCUUAAAACACAGAAACAAUUUUUUUCUAUAAACCCUAAAAGAUAAAAAAAUUUGUUAGCUAGUUUUCGGCUGGGGUGCCCAAGGAGAACAACCCAACCUCCCUGACGACCAUUAUCUAAGAACAACAACUCAAAGAAACAAAAAAUUGACGUAAAAUGACCCGAUUCAAUUAUCGAUCAACGAACCAAGUUACCCUGGGGAUAACAGCGCAAUCCAUUUCAAGAGCCCCUAUCGACAAAUGGGUUUACGACCUCGAUGUUGGAUCAGGGUAUCCUGGUGGUGCAGCAGCUACUAAAGGUUCGUUUGUUCAACGAUUAAAACCCUACGUGAUCUGAUUUCAGACCGGA
rnacentral:rRNA from 1 species